rnacentral:rRNA from 1 species
UACGAAGGGGGCUAGCGUUGCUCGGAAUCACUGGGCGUAAAGCGCCCGUAGGCGGCCUCUUAAGUCGGGGGUGAAAUCCUGGAGCUCAACUCCAGAACUGCCUUCGAUACUGAGAGUCUCGAGUCCGGGAGAGGUGAGUGGAACUGCGAGUGUAGAGGUGAAAUUCGUAGAUAUUCGCAAGAACACCAGUGGCGAAGGCGGCUCACUGGCCCGGUACUGACGCUGAGGUGCGAAAGCGUGGGGAGCAAACAGG